rnacentral:rRNA from 1 species
GUGAAGCAUCCUGUUAAGUCAGGCAACGAGCGAGACCCACGUCCACACGUUGCCAGCAUACCCUCCGGGGUGAUGGGUACACUGUGGAGACCGCCGCUGCUAAAGCGGAGGAAGGAAUGGGCAACGGUAGGUCAGUAUGCCCCGAAUCUCCCGGGCUACACGCGGGCUACAAUGGUUGGUACAAUGGGCAUCUACCCCGAAAGGGGAAGGAAAUCUCUUAAAGCCAAUCGUAGUUCGGAUUGAGGGCUGCAACUCGCCCUCAUGAAGCUGGAAUCCGUAGUAAUCGCGUUUCAACAGAACGCGGUGAAUACGUCCCUGCUCCCUU